CUGAAUAAAGCGUGGUCGGGGGUUGUCGCUGGCAUCCUUGUGAUGCAUGUGCACACCUCUGCCACUCUGUCAUUCAUUCACCUUCCACCUGUGCAUUCUCUUGUAGGCCAGAUUGCCAUUUUUCGCCUUUGUGUGUCUUGAGAUUUGCUGCUGCAGUGACACAGCUCCUCUCGUCUGCAUUCUGGUCUAUGCUCUUUUUACCCAAACCCCAUGUUUUUGUUUUGUAUAUGUAUGGACAUUAGCUUUUGUUUAAAAGCAUGUGUAUGCA
rnacentral:misc_RNA from 1 species